AAAAACUUAGAAGCGCCAGACUUAUCAUAAACAUAUGAUGAGUUGACGAGGUCAGGGUUUAUCGAAGUUUUCGGCGGGUGCCCUGCGCUGCGGCUUAGCAGUGUUACGAAUUUUACAAAUCCACAAGUAAUUGAUGGGACAAAGUAAAUUCGAUUGAGCCAU
rnacentral:ncRNA from 2 species